GAUGAAGAACGUAGUGAAAUGCGAUACUUGGUGUGAAUUGCAGAAUCCCGUGAACCAUCGAGUCUUUGAACGCAAGUUGCGCCUCAAGCCAUUAGGUUGAGGGCACCUCUGCCUGGGCGUCACAUAUCGUUGCCUGAUGCCAGUUUCCUCGUGAUGGGUGACUGUGCAGGGCGAAUGAUGGCUUCCCGUGAGCAUUGUUGCCUCAUGGUUGGUUGAAAAUUGAGUCCUUGGUAGGGAGCGCCGUGAUAGAUGGUGGUUGAGUGACGAACGAGACCCAAUCAUGUGAGACCCCUACCGAAUUUGGCCUUCAUGACCCACAUGCGUCUUUGGAACGCUCAUGACGAGACCUCAGGUCAGGCGGGGCUACCCGCUGAGUUUAAGCAUAUCAAUAAGCGGAGGA
rnacentral:misc_RNA from 1 species